GACAGAGGGUGCAAACGUUGCUCGGAAUUACUGGGCGUAAAGCGCGUGUAGGCGGGCAUCCAAGUCAGAUGUGAAAUCCCUGGGCUCAACCCAGGAACUGCAUUUGAAACUGGGUGCCUUGAGUAUCGGAGAGGAAAGCGGAAUUCCUGGUGUAGAGGUGAAAUUCGUAGAUAUCAGGAGGAACACCGGUGGCGAAGGCGGCUUUCUGGACGAUAACUGACGCUGAGACGCGAAAGCGUGGGGAGCAAACAGG
rnacentral:rRNA from 1 species